GUUUGCGUGGCCUAAUGGAUAAGGCGCUCGCCUCCGGAGCGGGAGAUUGUGGGUUCCGAGUCCCACCGUGGACG